rnacentral:rRNA from 1 species
GUGAGGAAUUUUCCGCAAUGGGCGAAAGCCUGACGGAGCAAUGCCGCGUGAAGGAUGAAGGCCUAUGGGUUGUAAACUUCUUUUCUCAGAAAAGAAUUAUGACGGUAUCUGAGGAAUAAGCAUCGGCUAACUCUGUGCCAGCAGCCGCGGUAAGACAGAGGAUGCAAGCGUUAUCCGGAAUGAUUGGGCGUAAAGCGUCUGUAGGUUGUUUAAAAAGUAUUCUGUCAAAGAUUAGGGCUUAACCCUAGAUAGGCAGAAUAAACUUUUAAGCUAGAGUUUGGUAGAGGCAGAGGGAAUUCCCGGUGGAGCGGUGAAAUGCGUAGAUAUCGGGAGGAACACCAAAGGCGAAGGCACUCUGCUGGGCCAAUACUAACACUGAGAGACGAAAGCGAGGGGAGUAAAUGGGAUUAGAAACCCUAGUAGUCC